GAUAUAUAGAAUCUCUGGGUAGAUUUGACUAACGAAUAGAGAUGUCGUGGUGGGUAAAAAAGUCCAGCCCUACCUAAACCCAAAAUAAACCCGCCCACCAAAAACCCAACUUUAGAAAAUCCAGAUGGGUUUUUGAUUUAAUGGAUAAAACCCGAAAAAACCUGAUUGUUCCGAGACUACCCGUGGGUACCCAACUUGGUUUCUGUCAAUUUCUUAGAGUUUAUUUCAAGUGCUAAUAUACUAUUAUAUGUAUGUUGUAUCUAUAAUUUGCUUAUAAAUAUAUUUUAAAUUGUAUUUAUUUUCUGUAUUACAUAUAUAUUUGAUGGGAAAAAGGUUGAAUUGCGUUUUUGGCGGAAAAAUAUUAAAUUGCA
rnacentral:sRNA from 1 species